rnacentral:tRNA from 4 species
GGCGGCGUAGCUCAGUUGGUUAGAGCACACGGCUCAUAAUCGUGGGGUCGUCGGUUCGAGUCCGACCGCCGCUA